GGGUGUGUCGCAUAGUGGCAAUUGCUCGUGACUGUAAAUCACGCGCCGUAAGGCUUCGCAGGUUCGAGUCCUGCCGCACCCA
rnacentral:tRNA from 2 species